rnacentral:rRNA from 1 species
UACGAAGGGGGCGAGCGUUGUUCGGAAUUACUGGGCGUAAAGGGCUCGUAGGCGGCCAACUAAGUCAGACGUGAAAUCCCUCGGCUUAACCGGGGAACUGCAUCUGAUACUGGAUGGCUCGAGUUUGGGAGAGGGAUGCGGAAUUCCAGGUGUAGCGGUGAAAUGCGUAGAUAUCUGGAGGAACACCGGUGGCGAAGGCGGCAUCCUGGACCAACACUGACGCUGAGGAGCGAAAGCCAGGGGAGCAAACGGG